rnacentral:rRNA from 1 species
AACGAACGCUGGCGGCAGGCUUAACACAUGCAAGUCGAACGCAUCCUUCGGGGUGAGUGGCAGACGGGUGAGUAACGCGUGGGAACGUGCCCUUCAGUUCGGGAUAACCCAGGGAAACUUGGGCUAAUACCGGAUACGUGCGAGAGCAGAAAGAUUUAUCGCUGAAGGAUCGGCCCGCGUCUGAUUAGCUAGUUGGUGGGGUAAUGGCCCACCAAGGCGACGAUCAGUAGCUGGUCUGAGAGGAUGAUCAGCCACAUUGGGACUGAGACACGGCCCAAACUCCUACGGGGGGCAGCAGUGGGGAAUAUUGGACAAUGGGCGCAAGCCUGAACCAGCCAUGCCGCGUGAGUGAUGAAGGCCUUAGGGUUGUAAAGCUCUUUCGUCCGGGACGAUAAUGACGGUACCGGAAGAAGAAGCCCGGCUAACUUCGUGCCAGCCGCCGCCGUAA